rfam:Marinomonas posidonica IVIA-Po-181, complete genome.
AUUAGGAGUAGAAGCUGUCAGGCGAUUCACCCGAAUCUCGCCAGGUCAUUGCUCCAUUU